GACGGAGGGGGCAAGCGUUGUCCGGAAUUACUGGGCGUAAAGGGCGCGCAGGCGGCUCUGAAAGUCAGAUGUGAAAGCCCCGGGCUUAACCUGGGAAUUGCAUUUGAUACUCUGGAGCUUGAGUACGGGAGAGGAGAGUGGAAUUCCCAGUGUAGAGGUGAAAUUCGUAGAUAUUGGGAAGAACACCGGUGGCGAAGGCGGCUCUCUGGACCGUAACUGACGCUGAGGCGCGAAAGCGUGGGGAGCAAACAGG
rnacentral:rRNA from 1 species